UGCCCAGUAGCCAAGUGGUAAGGCAACGGUCUCUGAAUCCGUCAUUCGUAGGUUCGAUCCCUACCUGGGCAG
rnacentral:tRNA from 1 species